UACGGGGGGUGCAAGUGUUAAUCGGAAUCACUGGCCGUAAAGGGUGCGUAAGCGGUACGUUAGGGCUGUCGUGAAAUCCCCGGAGCUCAGACCUGUUUAAUGGCGGAACAAACCGGUGCACUAGACUAUGGGAGAUGUUGGUGGAAUUCCAAGUGUGGCGGAGAAAUGCGUAGAGAUCUGGAGGAACAUAGAUGGCGAAGGUGGCUUCCUGGCCUAUACUGACGCUGACGCACGAAAUCGUGGGUAGCAAACACGAUUAUAUACCAUGGUAGUCCACGCCCUAGACGAUGAAUACUAGAUGUUUGGUACCUAGCGUACUGAGUGGCGGAGCUAACGCGAUAAGUAUUCCGCCUGGGAAGUACGGCCGCAAGGUUAAAACUCAAAGGAAUUGACGGGGGACCGCACAAGCGGUGGAGCAUGUGGUUUAAUUCGAUGCAACGCGAAGAACCUUACCUGGGCUUGACAUGUCCGGAAUUCUGCAGAGAUGCGGGAGUGCCCUUCGGGGAAUCGGAACACAGGUGCUGGAUGGAUGUCGUCAGCUCGUGUCCUGAGAGGUUGGGUUAAGUCCCGCAACGAGCGCAACCCUUGUCGUUAGUUGCCAGCGGUUAGGCCGGACACUCUAGGGAGACUUCCGGUGACAAACCGGAGGAAGGUGGGGAUGACGUCAAGUCGUCAUGGCCUUUAUGUCCAGGACUACACACGUCCCACAACGGCGCGUACAGAGGGAAGCCAAGUCGCGAGGUGGAGCAGACUCCAGAAAGCGCGUAGUAGUUCGGAUUGCAGUGUGCAACUGGAGUGCAGGAAGUCGGAAUCGGUAGUAAUCGCGGAUCAGCAUGCCGCGGGGAAUACGUUCCCGGGCCU
rnacentral:rRNA from 1 species